CCUACGGGUGGCAGCAGUAGGGAAUAUUGCUCAAUGGGGGAAACCCUGAAGCAGCAACGCCGCGUGGAGGAUGAAGGUUUUAGGAUUGUAAACUCCUUUUGUGAGAGAAGAUAAUGACGGUAUCUCACGAAUAAGCACCGGCUAACUACGUGCCAGCAGCCGCGGUAAUACGGAGGGUGCAAGCGUUACUCGGAAUCACUGGGCGUAAAGAGUGCGCAGGCGGGCUUGUAAGUCAGAUGUGAAAUCCUGUAGCUUAACUACAGAACUGCAUUUGAAACUAUGAGUCUAGAGUGUGGGAGGGGAAGGUGAAAGUCCAGGGGAAGGGAAAAAUCCGUAGAUAUCAAGAGGAAUGCUGAUUGCGAAGGCGACCUACUGGAACAUUACUGACGCUCAUGCACGAAAGCGUGGGGAGCAAACAGGAUUAGAUACCCGGGUAGUC
rnacentral:rRNA from 1 species